UACGUAGGGCGCAAGCGUUGUCCGGAAUUAUUGGGCGUAAAGAGCUCGUAGGCGGUUUGUCGCGUCUGUCGUGAAAGCUUGGGGCUUAACCCCAAGUCUGCGGUGGAUACGGGCAGACUAGAGGCAGGUAGGGGAGAACGGAAUUCCCGGUGUAGCGGUGAAAUGCGCAGAUAUCGGGAGGAACACCGAUGGCGAAGGCAGGUCUCUGGGCUGUAACUGACGCUGAGGAGCGAAAGCAUGGGGAGCGAACAGG
rnacentral:rRNA from 1 species